CAGAACGAACGCUGGCGGCAGGCCUAACACAUGCAAGUCGAACGCCGUAGCAAUACGGAGUGGCAGACGGGUGAGUAACACGUGGGAACGUACCUUUCGGUUCGGAAUAACUCAGGGAAACUUGAGCUAAUACCGGAUACGUGCGAGAGCAGAAAGAUUUAUCGCCGAAAGAUCGGCCCGCGUCCGAUUAGCUAGUUGGUGAGGUAAUGGCUCACCAAGGCGACGAUCGGUAGCUGGUCUGAGAGGAUGAUCAGCCACACUGGGACUGAGACACGGCCCAGACUCCUACGGGAGGCAGCAGUGGGGAAUAUUGGACAAUGGGCGCAAGCCUGAUCCCAGCCAUGCCGCGUGAGUGAUGAAGGCCCUAGGGUUGUAAAGCUCUUUCGCCAGGGACGAUAAUGACGGUACCUGGAUAAGAAGCCCCGGCUAACUUCGUGCCAGCCGCCGC
rnacentral:rRNA from 1 species